rnacentral:rRNA from 1 species
AGAGUUUGAUCCUGCUCAGGAUAAACGCUGGCGGCGCACAUAAGACAUGCAAGUCGAACGGACUUAACCAUUAGUUACUAUUGGAGCGGUUAGUGGCGGACUGGUGAGUAACACGUAAGCAACCUGCCUGCUAGGGGGAAUAACAGUGAGAAAUCAUUGCUAAUACCGCAUAUGCUCACAGUAUCGCAUGAUACGUGAGGAAAGGAGUAAUCCACUAGCAGAUGGGCUUGCGUCUGAUUAGAUAGUUGGUGGGGAAUGGCCUACCAAGUCGACGAUCAGUAGCCGAACUGAGAGGUUGAACGGCCACAUUGGGAUGAGAUACGGCCCAGACUCCUACGGGAGGCAGCAGUCGGGAAUAUUGCGCAAUGGAGGAACUCUGACGCAGUGACGCCGCGUAUGGGAAGAAGGUUUUAGGAUUGUAAACCAUUUUAGACGGGAAGAAUAAUGACAGUACCUGUAGAAUAAGCUCCGGCUAACUACGUGCCAGCAGCCGCGUAAUACGUAGGGAGCAAGCGUUAUCCGGAAUUAUUGGGUGUAAAGGGUGCGUAGACGGGGACUAAGUUAGUCUUGAAAUCCCUCGGCUCAACUGAGGAAUUGGGACUAAAACUGGUUUUUUGAGUGCAGGAGAGGAAAGCGGAAUUCCUAGUGUAGCGGUGAAAUGCGUAGAUAUUACGGGAACACCAGUGGCGAAGGCGGCUUUCUGGACUGUAACUGACGUUGAGGCACGAAAGUGUGGGAGCAAACAGGAUUAGAUACCCUGGUAGUCCACACUGUAAACGAUGGAUACCAGUGUAGAGGUAUUAAGCCUUCUGUGCCGUCGCAAACGCAGUAAGUAUCCCACCUGGGGAGUACGACGCAAGGUUGAAACUCAAAGGAAUUGACGGGGGCCC